rnacentral:SRP_RNA from 1 species
GCACAGACCGGGGCGUUAGCGGUGCCUUGAACCUGCAAUCCGCUUCAGCAGGGGUCGUGCAGACAAAGAGGGUCGCAUAUGCGGCGAGGCAGCCACUCACAGGACGAUGAGAGACCGGUACUGCGCAACGGAGGACUGUGAACCAUGUCAGGCGGGGAACCGAGCAGCAUUAAGCAGAAACCAUCGUGUGCCGCAGAGCUGCCGAUCUUGAGUCC